CAGCAGUGGGGAAUAUUGCACAAUGGGGGAAACCCUGAUGCAGCGACGCCGCGUGGAGGAAGAAGGUCUUCGGAUUGUAAACUCCUGUUGUUGAGGAAGAUAAUGACGGUACUCAACAAGGAAGUGACGGCUAACUACGUGCCAGCAGCCGCGGUAAAACGUAGGUCACAAGCGUUGUCCGGAAUUACUGGGUGUAAAGGGAGCGCAGGCGGGAGAACAAGUUGGAAGUGAAAUCCAUGGGCUCAACCCAUGAACUGCUUUCAAAACUGUUUUUCUUGAGUAGUGCAGAGGUAGGCGGAAUUCCCGGUGUAGCGGUGGAAUGCGUAGAUAUCGGGAGGAACACCAGUGGCGAAGGCGGCCUACUGGGCACCAACUGACGCUGAGGCUCGAAAGUGUGGGUAGCAAACAGGAUUAGAUACCCUGGUAGUCCACACCGUAAACGAUGAUUACUAGGUGUUGGAGGAUUGACCCCUUCAGUGCCGCAGUUAACACAAUAAGUAAUCCACCUGGGGAGUACGACCGCAAGGUUGAAACUCAAAGGAAUUGACGGGGGCCCGCACAAGCGGUGGAGCAUGUGGUUUAAUUCGAAGCAACGCGAAGAACCUUACCUGGUCUUGACAUCCCUCUGACCGCUCUUUAAUCGGAGCUUUCCUUCGGGACAGAGGAGACAGGUGGUGCAUGGUUGUCGUCAGCUCGUGUCGUGAGAUGUUGGGUUAAGUCCCGCAACGAGCGCAACCCU
rnacentral:rRNA from 1 species